CUGGCUUUUAUGCAAGUCCCCAUGCAAGGGGACAUCCCACAGGGAGGGACAUAGUACAACCAAUCGUUUACAGGAAAAAUGUAAAACACUCCCAGCACCAACAUACAAUUCCCUCCCCUAGUCCUGGAAAUAAUCAAGUCUGAUAAAGUAAUAACUUGAUUAUCUCCAGGCAGAAAAAUUAAAAAUUUUCCCCAAUAUUCAG